UCUCAAAGAUUAAGCCAUGCAUGUGUAAGUAUAAAUAAUUCUACUUUGAAACUGCGAAUGGCUCAUUAUAUCAGUUAUAGUUUAUUAGAAAAAAUGUACUACUUGGAUAACCGUAGUAAUUCUAGGGCUAAUACAUGAGUAAAUCCUCGACUUUGAAGAGGUGUGUUUAUUAGUAUGAAAACCAUAUGCUUCGGCAUAAUAGUGAGUAAUAAUAACCUUUCAUAUCGUAUGUUGAAAUAACGAUAGUUCUUUCAAGUUUCUGCCCUAUCAGCUUUCGAUGGUAGUGUAUUGGACUACCAUGGCAGUA
rnacentral:rRNA from 4 species